AGGUACCGUCAAAUAAUACGGGUAUUAACCGUAUUACAUUUCUUCCCUACUGACAGAGCUUUACGACCCAAGGCCUUCCUCACUCACGCGGCGUCGCUGCGUCAGGGUUUCCCCCAUUGCGCAAUAUUCCUCA
rnacentral:rRNA from 1 species